rnacentral:lncRNA from 1 species
CUGUCUCUGAAGAAUUUAAUCCAAAUCUCUUUUCAAUUGUCGUGAUAACCACGUUUAUGAAACCGUUUACUACCAUUCCUUUAUUUGAAGAAAAAAAAACAUUUCUUUAAUUUUAAUGAUACACGUUUUCAUGCUCGUACACGAGGAUAGGAAUCGAUUGCCCGCGGAGAAGAAGGGCAGUCUCAUUACACGGUUUUAUUUCCUCGGGAUUACCGAUAGAACCGUUCGGGAUCGAAUGCAUAUACAAACCACCAGCCCAGCAAAGCCAAAACAAAGCCCACUUAGCUGUCCUAAAUUUCUGCAAAUAAGAGGGCCUGAAAGAAAACCACCCGCACAAAGACUUGGACACCGACACUUGUGAAUCUAAUUGCUCUUCAGCUUUUAUUUCUUCCUUGAUGGUCGCCACAUCGUGCUCGACAAAUUUAGAGAAGAAAUCAAAGAAGACUAAAGAAUGUGCCAUUCUUUCCACUCAACCAAAAACUUACACUAAAUGAAAAUUUAUCGCGCAUCUUAAAAAGAAUAGCCUAAAAAAUCAGUAAAAAAAGCUUCGAUGACCAUCACUCUUUAUGUGGACAAAGCGAGUGAAGAAGACUAUGUUAACUGAACAACCCGUGAGACAUUAAGCCAACUCCUGAGAGAAAUACCCAGUCUUAAAUAAAAUUAAAAUAUAAAAAUUGAAAUGAAACUAAGAAGAUGUCUAGCUGGGUUUACUUAGCCCAGAGUAAACAGAAGGAAUGAAAAAAUAAAAAAAAAACAAAGAGCAACAAAGAAGCAAUAGUAAAGAAGAGAAGGGUAGAUGCCACGCGACUGUCCAUAAAUUUACCAGAAUUAAUACAAAGAUCUAUUGCUUCCGUUUUGCAUAUUAAUGAUUAUAUGUACACAGCUAUACAUAUGAAUAGGUGUAUACAAAGCCUGUUAUGUAAAUAUAUGACCCAUUGAGUAAAAAGAGGGAUUACGAGGAUGAGUAGGAUGAGGAGCGAGCGCGUGACAUAUACUCGUUGAUGGGCCCGGAGGCCGGAGGCUGAGUUUUAAAAACGCUCGUGCAAAUACCAAAUAGCAAUAGUGUGUAGGGUGACUUGCGGUUCGUUAUUUGCACUUUGAACGAGCAGCGGGGAUCGAGAUAGAGAGAAAAAUGAUAAAGUCGAAUUGUUGAACUUUGUCGUGUGUCGAGUUGAGAGUGGAGCAAAGGGUGCUUGCCUUGUUGCGUGGGCGUCGGAAUCAAACGUUAAUUGCCGUCUGCUUCGGAUAAUCGAUUUUCGAUCGUUAUACUCAAUCUCGCUGCUUUUAAUCGUGUUUCAUUUUUGACAGACUCACGGAUUUAUAAUGUCAAUUGUCAAAUUUUAUUCAUCAAACAUCCGCUUUUUUUUUUUUUACAAUUUAAUGAUUGACACAAAUAUUGAAGUAUUUAAAAGACUACUGCGCUAAUUACACGACAAUGCACCCCGAAGAUUCAAAAAAAUUCCCAAGCAUCUAUUCUCUUCUAUUAUAUCACUUUACUCCGACAAAAGUAGAGAACAGAGAGCCGAGCCAUCAGCAAAUGAACCGCCUGGAGUUUUACACAUAGCCGAUUCAAGGAGCUAUCCGAAACACUCAACCCGUAUUUAGAGCAACCAGCCAACGAUAUUUCUUCUCGCUCUACUCUAAAUUCCAGCAUCUACCAACAUAUUCAACACAUCCAGGCACGUAUAGCUUUUAAAUUAUUUAUACUUACUAUUUCUUCCGACAGCUCCAAUGCUGGGUUAUUUAUCCCCGCCAUUCUAGACCUAGAAGACAUAUUUGUUAACUUUUUAUUUAUUUAUUUAAAUAUUUAAAUAUCUAUUUAUUUAUUUAUUUAUAUAUUAGAUAGUGACUUGCGAGUCAAGGUUAGCUGAUAAGAUAACAAUUUAGCAGAUAAAUAAUAAUUUAAAAUAUAAUAAUAAUCAUUUCAUGUCUGCAACAGUACACAUACUCGGUUUAUUUAACAGGAUAAUCAUCACUCAUCACUUUCGAUUUAUUUAUGUACUUUAAAGAGCUGCAAUUAUUUUUUUUUAUUAUUAAACUCUUGUCUGGUCAUAAAUUAA